GACGAACGCUGGCGGCGUGCUUAACACAUGCAAGUCGAACGGAAAGGCCCUGCUUUUGUGGGGUGCUCGAGUGGCGAACGGGUGAGUAACACGUGAGUAACCUGCCCUUGACUUUGGGAUAACUUCAGGAAACUGGGGCUAAUACCGGAUAGGAGCUCCUGCUGCAUGGUGGGGGUUGGAAAGUUUCGGCGGUUGGGGAUGGACUCGCGGCUUAUCAGCUUGUUGGUGGGGUAGUGGCUUACCAAGGCUUUGACGGGUAGCCGGCCUGAGAGGGUGACCGGCCACAUUGGGACUGAGAUACGGCCCAGACUCCUACGGGAGGCAGCAGUGGGGAAUAUUGCACAAUGGGCAGAAGCCUGAUGCAGCAACGCCGCGUGCGGGAUGACGGCCUUCGGAUUGUAAACCGCUUUCGCCUGUGACGAAGCGUGAGUGACGGUAAUGGGUAAAGAAGCACCGGCUAACUACGUGCCAGCAGCCGCGGUGAUACGUAGGGUGCGAGCGUUGUCCGGAUUUAUUGGGCGUAAAGGGCUCGUAGGUGGUUGAUCGCGUCGGAAGUGUAAUCUUGGGGCUUAACCCUGAGCGUGCUUUCGAUACGGGUUGACUUGAGGAAGGUAGGGGAGAAUGGAAUUCCUGGUGGAGCGGUGGAAUGCGCAGAUAUCAGGAGGAACACCAGUGGCGAAGGCGGUUCUCUGGGCCUUUCCUGACGCUGAGGAGCGAAAGCGUGGGGAGCGAACAGGCUUAGAUACCCUGGUAGUCCACGCUGUAAACGGUGGGUACUAGGUGUGGGGUCCAUUCCACGGGUUCCGUGCCGUAGCUAACGCUUUAAGUACCCCGCCUGGGGAGUACGGCCGCAAGGCUAAAACUCAAAGGAAUUGACGGGGCCCCGCACAAGCGGCGGAGCAUGCGGAUUAAUUCGAUGCAACGCGUAGAACCUUACCUGGGUUUGACAUGGAUCGGGAGCGCUCAGAGAUGGGUGUGCCUCUUUUGGGGUCGGUUCACAGGUGGUGCAUGGCUGUCGUCAGCUCGUGUCGUGAGAUGUUGGGUUAAGUCCCGCAACGAGCGCAACCCUUGUUCACUGUUGCCAGCACGUUAUGGUGGGGACUCAGUGGAGACCGCCGGGGUCAACUCGGAGGAAGGUGGGGAUGACGUCAAGUCAUCAUGCCCCUUAUGUCCAGGGCUUCACGCAUGCUACAAUGGCUGGUACAGAGAGUGGCGAGCCUGUGAGGGUGAGCGAAUCUCGGAAAGCCGGUCUCAGUUCGGAUUGGGGUCUGCAACUCGACCUCAUGAAGUCGGAGUCGCUAGUAAUCGCAGAUCAGCAACGCUGCGGUGAAUACGUUCCCGGG
rnacentral:rRNA from 1 species